UAUUGUGCGAUGAAUAGGAGUAUUAGUAAUAAUUAUAUCUUAAAGAGAGCUGUUGUUUGGUGUAAAAUAGUGUUAUAUUAUUAUGAACUUGCCUAGGAGCUUACUUGUUAAAAGCAAGUACGGUAAACCCGUUAAAAUAAUAAGUGAGAAGGAUAAAUUUGUUUUUUAUCUCUUCUAAUUAAGAGUGGUACCACGGAAAUUAUGCUUUCGUCUCUUUG
rnacentral:ncRNA from 1 species